ensembl:lincRNA
GGUACAUCCAAAUGUGUGCAUAUAAAUGUACAAACACAUAGUGAUUGACAUUCUUACUAGGAUUAUCAGAUCUUCUAAGCAGCAUAUUUUCCCAAAGAUAAUUUUUUAAAAAAUGAACAAAUUCCAGAACCAUUAGGGAGAAAAAUCACCUAUGGAGCAGGAGUAAAUCUGAAGAAUCUAGCAAAAUUUGGGAUAGCAACUUGAAUAAUGAUCCGAAAGACUGACAGGGUGAUGGACAGACUUCUGUAAACCCGAGGAGACCAUGUAGGAGUUCUUUGCUCUCUGUCUGGAGUCAGAGAAACUGGCAUGUUUCUCUUAACCUGUGACUGAAGUGUGUUAGGAUGGAUGACGAGUUAUGGUGGAGUUCUCUUCCUUUUCUUGCCGUAGUUUCAUAAAUAGAGAAAAAAAUAUGCUGUUAGACAUAGGCUAUAAACAACCACACUGAUUUCUUAAUUAUCCUUUUGUGAUUUGUUUACUUAUUGUCUAUUCUUACCAGGACAAUUAGCUUUAUUUUGCUGCGUUCGGAAGCCACUUAAGUAUCUGCUCACGGCAUCUGUUAGUAUAUCCUCACUCUUCUCUGCAUAAUUCUUGCUGUACCAUUGACUGGGCCUUUCCUUUCCAAAGCUCUUCAGCUCUGCGCAAUCACUUGUGUGAUGGAGAAGUGACAUACAUGCACUCACCUCAUUUUUCUAUGACUUAACAGUUGAGUGACUGUGUCUAAGUUACUUACCUAUCUGCAUGGUCUCCUACUUCUGAAAUAAGUCCUGCCUAGUGCUGUUAUGAAGACUGAAACUGUAUGCAGAUCAGCUGGGGCUCUGUGAGCUCCCCUAAAUGCGUGUCCUCCUGUCCACACCACAGCUCUUGCAGGUUCAAAUGGAUAGAAUCAGACCUACCAACAAGCUUUCAUCUUCGGAGAUGUAAACACAGGCCUGGCCCUCUCUUCUGUCAUGAUAUCUUCUGUGAAUAUUCUUGGUCAGGAGUGCAAAGCGCGAGAGGGCUGAUUGCUGCUGAGCUGAGCCCUCAAAAACACUGCGGACUUUUCACAUGCACCAACCCGAGGCUCCACUCACCACUCUUGCUGGAAAGGCAACUCUUACAACAUCCUUCUUUCUACUAUUCAAUUUCAAGAUGUGUUGUAGAUCUGCAGAUAAAUUCCAGCAGGCUUCCACUUUCAUCUUAGACUUACCAGCCUCCACAACUAGCAAGCCUCCACAACUACACACUCAAGUGUGUGCACACAUACAUACACAUACCAAUAACAUAAUCACUAUACAAACAAUUGUCCCAGUUAUUGCAGCUGAAAGGUAAGUAACUCUAACACCUGGUUACUUGGAGCAGGAUGAUUUUUACCUACUUUCCCCAUGGAUCUGUGUUGCGGGCAGGAUUUGGCAGUGACAGUUUGUCUCUGCUAUGCCUGCUAUCUGUAAGGAUCAGGCCAGAACCUGGGAUCUCGAGGCAUCAAAGAGGUUGUUCCUUCUCAGGUCGGGUGGCUGAUGCUGGCUUUCAGCUCAGAACUUAGCUGCCUUUAUUGCUUUGGGCAUUUACACAUCAUUCAAACAGAGCCUUAACUUCUUAGGACCUGACCUGAUGGCUGGCUUCCAGGGCUGAGCCUCCUGCAAGAGGGAAUGCCUUUUAUAGAGGAUCCUCAGAUGGCAGGCAGCAUGCUGUCAGUUGUAUUCUGUUUGUUAGUGAAGUCAUAGUUGCACAACAGGAUUGAAAGGUACGGGGAAAAGACCCUCAACCUGGACAAAUAGUUGGAAGGUUUUGAAUGUAUAUAAUGGAUCAAUGUUACUCUGCUCCCUUUUCGGAAAUAAAAUCAACCAAGAAACAAAAUCCAGUUAUUUUCUUAGUGAUCCUAAAUUCAGUAAUGUCAGUCCUCUG